GCAGUUACCUUGUUAGCAAUCAAGUUGAAAUUCCGGCUGUGGUAGCAUGUCGGUCUAUUACCUAAAAGUAGGGUAUACCGGUAUUUAUUACUAUUAACAUGUUAGCGUAGAUUUGUUUGCAAAAUGGCAUUGAAAGUAUAGAAAGACUCAGGAAAAUGCUGUGUUAAGUAGAAAAUAAUUAUGGCAAAUGCAUUUAAAUGUAGAAAAUGAGUAUGCAAAAUGCUGUUGAAAGUAUGAAAUCAUUUUGAAAAAUUCUUUUGAAAGUAGAAAAUGCUGUUGAAAGUAAAAAAUUCUGUAGAAAGAAGAAAGUGCUGUUGAAAUGCUGUGUAUUGAUCUUAAAGUCAUUAGUACGCUUCCAUACAUUUUAAUGAACAUUCGAGUAAUCAAAGGGUGUGCAAUGCAUAUAUUGUUUGUUAAAUCACCAAAAGAAAAAAGAUGAACAAAAGCACUUUAGAUGGAACAGGAGUAGAAUGCAAAAAACACAGAUAUUGCAUUAUAUAUUGAAUCAGUGUUUUUGUUAUAUAAUUUUGUUACAUUUUCUGGGGUUUUUUUAAUGGAUAAACUUUUUCAAAUGAAAAAUCGAAGGCAGAAUGUAUAUGGGUACUUGCGCUUUCAUUAGCAGAAAGCAAGAAACAAUAAAGAAAUAAGAACAUGCCGGACCCAAAAUACGCUACCUCGUUUCAUAGGAACAGAUAAAUCCUUGUCUUUCACAAGUAUACGCUCCAUCCUUUCAAAUUUCUGCGGGCAGCAAAGUGAUAUGGUUUCCAGAUAAAAAAAAAGUCAUAUUUUUUAGGAGAAAUUAUACAUUUCACAACCCCUAUAAACAGUCUUGUUAGUAUGCAUUCAUAUACAAUAUUACAAUAACAAGGUCUAUUCUGACAAAUUGUUAAUGCUUGGUUUGUGACAAUAGAAAUUUAAGAACUUAAAUUUGCAAUCAUUUAAAUCGAAUGGAAAUUUAUAUACAUAAGAUAAACACAUGAAACGCUUCAGUAAAUAUGAAUCAGGAAGUUCAAUUAAAUCGGAAUUCCCAAUUAGUACGAAUAUGAGUGCACUUGGUUAUGUUCAAAGGAAACAGGUAAGCUUCUGAGAGUGAGUAAAAGAUAGUAAAUAAGAUUACAUGUUAUAAAGAGUAUGUAUCGAGUUUUAUAAAAAAAAAAUCAACACUUAAUUUAACCAUUUCUCUCGGGUAAUAUCACAGGCACUCUUCUGAGAAAAAUAAUUCCCUAUAUACCUUGAUAUAACAGGUAUAUGUAAGGGGGCAAGAUCUGAGACGAGUGCCUGUGGGUAAUAUUUACACAUAAAGCAUAUAGAAAAGUUAACUUACAAGAAUGCAAACCUCCGUAGAAAAACAGAAAUUCCCAUAACAAAUGUCAAUAUCAAUAGCUUUUAAAACAUCAAAUGAACGGGGAAAAGGUCACAUUUCUGACUUGGUACAGGCAUUUCAUCAUGAUAUAGAAAAUGGUAGAUUUAAUCUAGUCCAUUCUCGAAUAAUACAAAUACGUUUUAUUAGGUAAUAUAUGAAAAGACAAAUUAUAAUUUCGAUUACUGGUAUACGAUAAUCAUGGCACAGCUACAACACUGAAAUCGUUUUAAAACUAUUUGAAAAACAACACAUACAGAUUUUAAAAGAGUACCAAUACACUUCCUGUUUAUGAUGCAAUACAAAUAGAUUUUAUACCCAUUGAAAUUUUACAGGGUAACUAGAUAUUGGAGCGAGCUGUAGAAUAAAAUAAACGGAAUAGUUUGAUGGAAUAUUAAUUCAAAUAUGGAUCUAUCGAUAGUAGCAGAAGUUUUUAUUAUUGUUUUGUCUUCGAUUGUUAUUAUUUCACUGAUACCACUAUGUUUGUCCGCACAACACAAAUAUUCAGUAAUUUUUAUCAGCAUUAUUAUUGUUGAAUAUAUAUUUGAAGUGCUUCGUGUUUUAUAUUUUGUUAAAGUUUACUGGAACAAAUCAGAUUGGUUAUUGUUUGAUUUUCCGCUCAGAAGUAUGCCUUCAAUUUCAAUGACUUGUUCCGUACUUCUCGGCACAAUUAUAUUGUCAUCUGUUUCAUUCAAAAAAUCGUCAGUAAAAGUUUUUUGUUUGAUCUACGUCUUUAUAUCGCUAAUAUUUAUCAUAAUAUGGAACAAUUUCUUGGCAACCUGCUUGAUUGUUGAUCACCCUGAUCAAACCAAAAGAAUCUAUUGUGACCAUUACCUGAUAGAUUCAGAUAUCUAUGACUACUACGAAUGCAUCAACGAUGAGGAAAUAAUUACUGCUUAUCAUAUCGUCUCCAAAAGAUUCCCAUCUAAUACAGCUUUCUAUUGCUUUGAGAAUUGGACACCUUGGAGCAGUGGUUAUUUUCUGGAGUAUUUGCUAUUGAGUGUCCCGUCUUUUGCAGUACUAUACGAUAAACUAUACAAGAUGUUACGAUUUUAUGGUAAGUAGACUCUUCCUAUAUCUAUUUGUACGAAACUAAAGUGUACAUUAGCUGCUUUUAAAAUCAUCUUUCACAAAAGAAUUGACACAAUUUUAUAGCUUUUAAGAAAUUUGCAAAAUAUAUAUAGAAAGAACAACACUUUUGCUAUAUCCCAAAGUGUGGUUAAGAAAACAAAUUUAAACUAAUCGAUUAACAUUAAUUGAGCUGAACAAAAGGAUAUAAACAUUCAUCAAAGAUAUUAUGAUUAUGAUUAUGUAAACAUUGCAAAAUUUAUAAAUCCUUCACAUUGUAACAGACGAAUCAUAAACUACAUAAACAUACCCUUUGAUGUUUGUUUUUUUUUAUUUCAGAACAGAAGAAUUGUAACGAAACUUGUUCCAUCUGCCGUUUCAACAUUUCACUUUAUAACCAUACAAUGGCGCUGGCCCUUUUUAUAAUUUGGUGUGUGAGACCGACUUUUUAUUUGUUUGUUGCAUCAGGGUCCUUUUGGAUUUCGUCUUUCUGUAUUGACUUAAUUAUUAUGAUAUCGUCAGCGAUUUUUUUUAUUCUAGUUUUGAUUUACAUUCUUAAAUUCUAUCUUUUUCGUAAAUUUGUCUUUAAUGUUGAUAAUGACAGUGAAUGUAAUGUUGUCCUUACAGAAUGUACAUUUGGGAAACAAAAAGACAAAUCCAAACAUUGUGAGCAAAAUGAAUGUUAAUAAAAGCAAUCUUUCCUUAGGGUAACAAGAAUACAAUAUCUUUUAUAUUUUUCAUUUCGUCAAAAAACAUGGCUGUCAUGGCUGAUAAUAGAACAAACAGGUAAACUGCAGUUUUUGGUUAAUAUCCAAAAUGCUUAGCAUUAUUUUAUUUUUUAAUCGGAUCUCGACCACUAACUUGCAACUCGGAAGUAAACUCAAUGUUUGAUUCUAGCAAUAACCCGAAAUGGAAGUGGAGUUUAAAUUUAACGUUAACGCUGAGUCGAAGCUAGUGUUAUGCAGAUGCUCGUACUUUAAAUCGAUGAAUUUAGUCACCCUG
rnacentral:lncRNA from 1 species